AUUCAAUUCAACCUCUCUUUCUUUUUCUUGUUUCUUGCUUUAUUUCCCUUCUCUUUCAACGUCUUCUUUUCUUGGAGAAGGGGGUUUCUUUUUUUCUUGUUUGGUCUGCUCUCUUCUCUACAAUGGCUACUUCAAGAUGGAUCAGGCCUGAGGUUUUUCCGCUCUUUGCAGCUGUUGGGGUAGCUGUUGGCAUUUGUGGGAUGCAACUUGUUAGGAAUAUCUGCACCAACCCAGAAGUCAGGGUGACCAAAGAGAACAGGGCAGCAGGAGUGCUUGAGAACUUUGCAGAGGGUGAGAAAUAUGCAGAACAUACCUUAAGGAAGUUUGUCCGCAAGAGGCCUCCUCAGAUCAUGCCAUCAGUCAAUGGCUUCUUCUCAGAACCUGAUCUUCCAAGUUCUAACUAGAAAUUCACUUCAACGACUGAAGUCAGGCUUUCAUAUUUUGUGCUUGUGAUUUUGAAGGAAAUAGGACAUAUUAUUAUUUUCUUUUUUCCAUUCGAGAGCAUGAAGCAAUUGCAGAUUGCAAGUUGAAGUUUUUGUCAUAUGACCAAACAGUAUUGAAUAAUAAUAAAGUUCUCUGUUACAAUUUCUAAAACUUCAACUUGCAAUCUGCAAUUGCU
rnacentral:misc_RNA from 1 species